rnacentral:rRNA from 1 species
UACGGAGGGUGCAAGCGUUAUCCGGAUUCACUGGGUUUAAAGGGUGCGUAGGCGGGCAGGUAAGUCAGUGGUGAAAUCUCCGAGCUUAACUCGGAACUGCCGUUGAUACUAUUUGUCUUGAAUAUUGUGGAGGUAAGCGGAAUAUGUCAUGUAGCGGUGAAAUGCUUAGAUAUGACAUAGAAUACCAAUUGCGAAGGCAGCUUACUACACAACGAUUGACGCUGAGGCACGAAAGCGUGGGGAGCGAACAGG